AUCGACUUGUCCGGAUCUGAUAUCACCGAAACCGGACAUUGACUUAUAGUGCGACUGUCAACUUCCUGUGGUGAGUACUUUGAUCAUUGCAGAAUAACCAGAGAGCUUGAUGAAGACAGACGUCUAACCCUCAACUCGUAUCUGCCAUUUGCCAUACACGUACUUGGAUAACUCAAGAGAGAAGGGGGAAGAAUGUUGUAAUCGACUUGUCCGGAUCUGAUAUCACCGAAACCGGACAUUAACUUAUAGUGCGACUGUCAACUUCCUGUGGUGAGUACUUUGAUCAUUGCAGAAUAACCAGAGAGCUUGAUGAAGACAGACGUCUAACCCUCAACUCGUAUCUGCCAUUUGCCAUACACGUACUUGGAUAACUCAAGGUAA